GAUGUGCUUUGGAGUAGAGGGACGUGUCUUGGCUUUUCUCUUGUCCAUUGCUGUUGAAGUUGUAAACACUUUCAAUUUCUCCCGCUGAGGGUUUCAGAUUGAAAUCCAUUUGAUCUCAGUGCAAAGAGCGAGUUGCUUAUUUCAUUCAUGUAUCUUAACAUCUGUUUUCCUUGUGCUUUGUAGACGACGAAAACCUAAAACAGUGCCACUCUCAAAACUUUCCACUUUUUUAUGCAGUUCCUAUUCUUGCACUUUGUCAGCAUGAAAACCUCAGAGACCAGUGCUCUAUGGAGAUACAGUAUAUAUGACUUUUCUGCAUUUUCUGUAUUUUGAAUGGAAAGCAAACCUUUUUUCUUAAUGAUCUGGGUUAUCUCACAUCCCAAUCCAAUGAAAGUCUUGGUGUGGCUGUGUGAUGUGUAAUGUUUCAUAUAAUGUUAUUUUUGGGCAGAUAAUUUGGGCAACAAAGUGCUACACAUCCCAAAGGAAGGCCUACAGCGGAGCCCUGAGGAGGCAUCAAGGACAAGAAACCGGUACUGAGAAUGGAGAGUAAGCCUAAGGGGCUGCAUAUGUGUGUUGGUGUGGGUGCCUUUGUCUCUCUAUUCUUCUCUCUCGGGAUGCUAUCUAAAAAGUCACAGGCUUUAUCUUUUGAUCUGUGAGUCUUUUUUUCAAAACGCCAUUGAAGCUCCAGCAUCUGCUUCCUGACUCUCACUCUCUAGAGUUUUUAGUUAAUGAGGCACUGGGCUCUUCACCUCUCACCAUGACCUAUCCACUUUCUUCAUAAUUUUUUUUUUCUUUUGCUCUCUUUGUACUUCCAUCAUCUCUCUUCUUUCUCAACAAUCUCAACAAGAGAUAGACUUCUGGAGGAGCUGCUGCGUCAAUCUGUUGGUCACAUCAGCCAAGAGUUUAAAAAGCCAGAGGUCAAGAAGAUCAAGAGCAUCAUGCAGAUCUCCAAGUUUUCUUCAGGUACAGGUCAAACCUGCCCUACCUGUCUAUACUGAAAGAGCUGUGUGAAGAGCUUGCCCAGCUCAAGGUUUGCCAACUUACUCCUAAGCUGAGACACAUUGUCAGUCUCAUUUGCAUCAUCUGGGUCAACUCAUCCCACUACAACACCAGUGAGAGGAUCUCCUGUCUCUUUUGCAAGGAAUUGCAGAGACUACACAAAGGCUGAAGGCUGGAUUCAACCUAUGACACAUCUCAAACAUGGUCCUUUACUGGGGCAGCUGAGGAAUGAAAUUAUUUAGUAUGAGUAAUGAGAUCUUCUGCCUGUGCUUCCAAAGCAUCUCUCUGGACAGGAUAUUUAAGGGCUACGUGAUCUCUAGCAAUCAAGACCUCAACGACUGUAUUCGUUGAUGCCUGGCC